ACACUGGAUUUCAUCAAAUCCACAUUUUUAUACAAAGAAAGUUCG
rfam:Lepisosteus oculatus linkage group LG5, whole genome shotgun sequence.